rnacentral:rRNA from 1 species
GCUCAACGGAUAAAAGGUACUCCGGGGAUAACAGGCUGAUACCGCCCAAGAGUUCAUAUCGACGGCGGUGUUUGGCACCUCGAUGUCGGCUCAUCACAUCCUGGGGCUGAAGUAGGUCCCAAGGGUACGGCUGUUCGCCGUUUAAAGUGGUACGCGAGCUGGGUUUAGAACGUCGUGAGACAGUUCGGUCCCUAUCUGCCGUGGGCGCUGGAGAAUUGAGGGGGGUUGCUCCUAGUACGAGAGGACCGGAGUGAACGCACCGCUGGUGUUCGGGUUGUCAUGCCAAUGGCAUUGCCCGGUAGCUAAGUGCGGAAAAGAUAAGUGCUGAAAGCAUCUAAGCACGAAACUUGCCCCGAGAUGAGUUCUCCCUGACCCUUUAAGGGUCCUGAAGGGACGUUGAAGACGACGACGUUGAUAGGCCGGAUGUGUAAGCGCAGCGAUGCGUUGAGCUAACCGGUACUAAUGACCCGUGAGGCUUAACCUUACAACGCCAGAGGCGUUUUG